rnacentral:rRNA from 1 species
UACGUAGGGGGCGAGCGUUGUCCGGAUUUAUUGGGCGUAAAGAGCGUGUAGGCGGCCAGGUAGGUCGGUUGUGAAAACUGGAGGCUUAACCUUCAGACGUCGACCGAAACCAUCUGGCUAGAGUCCGGAAGAGGAGAGUGGAAUUCCUGGUGUAGCGGUGAAAUGCGCAGAUAUCAGGAAGAACACCCGUGGCGAAGGCGGCUCUCUGGGACGGUACUGACGCUGAGACGCGAAGCCAGGGGAGCAAAGCAGG